GAUGAACGCUGACGGCGUGCCUAACACAUGCAAGUCGAACGGAGAUUACGGACGGAAGUUUUCGGAUGGAAGCCUGUAAUUCUUAGUGGCGGACGGGUGAGUAACGCGUGGGCAACCUGCCCUAUACAGGGGGAUAGCAGCUGGAAACGGCUGGUAAGACCGCAUAAGUCGGUUAAAUCGCAUGAUUUGAUCGGGAAAUGAGCAAUCAGGUAUAGGAUGGGCCCGCGUCCGAUUAGCCAGUUGGCAGGGUAAAAGCCUACCAAAGCGACGAUCGGUAGCCGGACUGAGAGGUCGGACGGCCACAUUGGGACUGAGACACGGCCCAAACUCCUACGGGAGGCAGCAGUGGGGGAUAUUGCACAAUGGAGGAAACUCUGAUGCAGCGACGCCGCGUGAGUGAAGAAGUAUUUCGGUAUGUAAAGCUCUAUCAGCAGGGAAGAUGAUGACGGUACCUGACUAAGAAGCCCCGGCUAACUACGUG
rnacentral:rRNA from 1 species